rnacentral:misc_RNA from 1 species
GAUGAAGAACGCAGCGAAGUGCGAUAAGUAGUGUGAAUUGCAGAAUUCAGUGAAUCAUCGAAUCUUUGAACGCACAUUGCGCCCGCUAGUAUUCUGGCGGGCAUGCCUGUCCGAGCGUCAUUUCAACCCUCAAGCCCCCGGGCUUGGUGUUGGGGAUCGGCGAGCCUCCGCGCCCGCCGUCCCCUAAAUCUAGUGGCGGUCUCGCUGUAGCUUCCUCUGCGUAGUAGCACACCUCGCACUGGGAAACAGCGCGGCCACGCCGUUAAACCCCCAACUUCUGAACGUUUGACCUCGGAUCAGGUAGGAAUACCCGCUGAACUUAAGCAUAUCAAUAAGCGGAGGA